rnacentral:rRNA from 1 species
UACAGAGGUCUCAAGCGUUGUUCGGAUUCAUUGGGCGUAAAGGGUGCGUAGGUGGUGAUGCAAGUCUGGUGUGAAAUCUCGGAGCUCAACUCCGAAAUUGCACCGGAUACUGCGUGACUCGAGGACUGUAGAGGAGAUCGGAAUCCACGGUGUAGCAGUGAAAUGCGUAGAUAUCGUGAGGAAGACCAGUUGCGAAGGCGGAUCUCUGGGCAGUUCCUGACACUGAGGCACGAAGGCCAGGGGAGCAAACGGG